rnacentral:rRNA from 1 species
UACGUAGGUGGCAAGCGUUGUCCGGAUUUACUGGGCGUAAAGGGCGUGCAGGCGGUUUGUUAAGUUCAGGGUGAAAGCUCCCGGCUCAACUGGGAGAGGUCCUUGGAUACUGGCAGACUUGAGGAGGGUAGAGGAGAGUGGAAUUCCCGGUGUAGUGGUGAUAUGCGUAGAUAUCGGGAGGAACACCAGUGGCGAAGGCGGCUCUCUGGGCCCUACCUGACGCUGAGACGCGAAAGCGUGGGGAGCGAACGGG